GUGGAUCAGUUCGGGUAUCGACUGAAUCGUCAGAACGCUGCGUGUUCACUACACUUGCGCGAUCCGCAUCCGACACCUUGCAUCGGUCUUCGGAACCGACGGUUGCAGGUUCGAGUCCUGCCGGGUGCGCCA
rnacentral:tRNA from 1 species